UACGUAGGGUGCGAGCGUUAAUCGGAAUUACUGGGCGUAAAGCGUGCGUAGGCGGUUCUGCAAGUCAGAUGUGAAAUCCCCGGGCUUACCCUGGGAACUGCAUUUGAAACUACGGAGCUAGAGUGUGUCAGAGGGGGGUAGAAUUCCACGUGUAGCAGUGAAAUGCGUAGAGAUGUGGAGGAAUACCGAUGGCGAAGGCAGCCCCCUGGGAUGACACUGACGCUCAUGCACGAAAGCGUGGGGAGCAAACAGG
rnacentral:rRNA from 1 species